CCAAUUGGAAGCCGACGCACUUGUUCAUUUCUUUAUGUUUUUAAAACACUUUUUGACUACAUUUUUCAGCAAAUUUCCUCCCACAUUCCCUCCCCCAAAUUACAAUUCUCUUUCAGAUUCCCUCCCACAAAUUACACACAUACUCUCUCUCUCUCUCUCAACUCCCUCUCUCACGAUUUGAAGAAACCCUAAGCUUCACCUCACCUUACGGUUGCAAAAACACAGAUUUGCUGAGGAUUGUAAGUAGGUUCAUUGAUGCUUAUCUUCUAAUUUGCCAGAUCUGUAAGUUUUAUCUGUUUUCCAAUGGUAGAGAUUCUCCUUGCGUCGGACAGUCGAAAGUCUUUUUCUGCCUUUGUGAACAAUGUUAUGUAUUACGUUGGUUUGUUUGUUCGUUUGUGAAAUAUAUGCUGGAAUUUUUGUCUCUUAAUUAAGAGUGUGUGUGUGUGUGUGUGUGUUAUUCAUAUAAGAUUUUGUUGUGUUUCCUGAUUUUUCGGUAUUGCUGAUUAUGGAAUUAUAUAAUUGCAUCAAGAGUUGAAGGUGUGCAUAUGAACUGUUUGAUAAAAGUCCUAAGUGAUUGGGUAAGUUAGUUUAACAUCGUUUCAUGGUCAAGUGUUCGAUACAAGUUAUUGAGCUGAAUUACUAUGGGGGUGGGGGUGGAGAGCAGGGCUGGGCAUUUGGUAUUUCUGUUCGAUUUUAAAGAACUUCAGUUUUUUUAUUGUACAUAUCGAAUUUAGUUCAGUUCAGUUUAUUUUUGCUUGUUCUGUUUGGUUCUUCAGUAUGAGCCUGAUAUGCUGGGCUAUUUUCUGCUUAAGAAUGAGCUAUUUUUGGUCAUGUUGAGUAUGGUCUAGUGUUGAACAUGGUUUUCUCAAAAAGUGAUGUCUUUUCUUAUAGUGUUUAUGACAAGGUAGCCAAUGAACUUCAUUAUGUGACAACGCUUUAAUGUCGAUAUUUUGAGGAAAUUAAUUCUUUCUAGAUAUUUGUCUUUGUGCUUUGGCAAUUGUAUUUCACUUGUGCUUUAUGAUCAUGCAAUUCCUGAACGGAAAGUGAUGAUGUUUGCAUUCUAAAUCUUUCUAACACUUUGUUCAUAUUGAUAAGGUUAUAUGAAGAGUGCUGACAGAUAUAGGAAGGAUUGGCAAGUCGAAAGGAGUUUUAAUUGCUAAUUUAAGUCACAGAGUAUAAAACUUGACUAGGGUGCUGUUCAAGUUGAUGUUACAGUCUGCUUGUUUCCUAGAUGUCAAGUUCGACUACUUGUUUAGUUAGAUCGCGCAUUAUAUGGCCAUAGAGCAACAGUCAAACACCGUCAUCCUACAAUAUCUUUUCCCAUAUAAAUAAUUUUAUGCUUGUACAUCUCCACCCUCCUUUGUCACAUAGUUAAAAGAAGAAUCUUCUUAAGGACUAAGGGAAAAAAUAUUAGUAGAGCUCAGGAUGAGGAUUGCCCACAAAUCCCAUGAUAUUAUGUCUUCUGAGAACGAGGGGUAUGGUCUGGUUUGUCAAUCUGGUUGCUUUAAUAGCAAUAUUAAUUUUGCGUCCAUCACAAGAUUUAGCUGCAUGAUGUAAAGUAACAGGUAAAAACAUGUAUCAGCUUUGAUUAUCAGUAACUUCUCAGUAUAACUGCUAAGCAUUUAUAUUAACUGUUCAAAAAUAUUGCAGUUACAGUGAGUGAAGUCGAAGCAUUGUUUAUUCAAAAGAAUAAGCAGCUGCAUAAUUGAUGAUGGCCUCAUUCAUAAGGAAGAGUUUCAGCUAGCGCUCUUCAGGAACCAAAAAAAGAGGAAUCUGUUUGCAGAUAGGAUAUUUGAUCUUUUUGAUAUUAAGCGCAAUGGAGUAAUUGAGUUUGAAGAAUUUCUCCGAUCACUGGGUAUCUUCCACCCUAAUGCACCAGUAGCUGAUAAAAUGGCAUGUGGGAAAUUAACUUUGGUGGCUUUUAUACUAUCCAUAUGGUGCCUUUCACUUAGUUCUCAUUUUUUCACUUUUAGUCUUCUAAUGAAAUGCAUUAUACAUGCCUCUUUGUUGACAUUGAUCCCUCUAGCUUAAUAUCUUCUGCUAUUAAGUUAUGUAUGCAAAAUUAAUAUUGCUAUUUUUCUUUCGUGUAGCAGAAAAUUGAAGGAUAUAGAACACCCUGCUCAUGUUUGAGGAUAUGACAUGGGUGCAAUUUUAACUGUAGUGUUCAACUAAAACUUUAACGCGACUUAGUCUUAGUUGAUAUCUCGGAGGAGUUGGCUAGCUUAUUUCCACGGGUAUAAGUACUAAUCUUUUCUUGUUUGCUUUUCUGUCAGAGCUUGAAAUAAGACAUUAUUCAUACGGUGGUUUCCAGUUGGAUCAUACUUUGAAAAUACUCUCGUCUUAGGGAUGUAAGACUUUUUAUAAUUGUCCAAAAUUAAAUCUAUACACACACAGGUAAUAUAUAUACUCUUGACUCUGUGAGCUCUUCGUAUGAUUGUUAAGGAGAACUAAUGUUGAAGGAUCUGAUAGUGCAUCAGUUAACUGAUUUUAUAUACUUUUAGAAGCUGCAUGGCAUAUACUGAUAGAGGAGAUGAACGAUUAUGUUCCUCUUUCUCUCUUUCUUGCAAGGUACGAUAAUGGGUGGGUGAUAGAUUGAGGCGUGGGGUGAGGGGAGGGAUCAAAGUAAUAUACAUAUUGUAGUCAUAACAGGAAGCGUGUCUCCUUCUCUUUCAGAGAUUGUCAUUCUGUUAUAGAUAGAUCAUGGAGUGAACUAUAUAUUCAUCACUUGCUUUCUGAAGCUAUUUGACUUCUAUUUUCCUUUUCUUAUUGAUGACAAUGUUUUAGUCAUUGUGAUCUCUCAAUAUUUUUUCUGUAAUAGUUAUUGAUUGUCUCUUUCUUUUUCUUCUUUUUUGUUGCAGGCACCAGAUUUAGGAAAUGGUGCUCCGUUACCAACUGGUCCAGGAAUAUCUUUGGAAGAAAGUAACAGUGCUGAUUCAGCGAGUGCCGAUUAGUAAUCAUGUUAGGAUUAGCUAUGACUCUCUUGAGUAUUGUUAUGUUGAAUUACUCUUUGAAACUUCAAUACAACGAUAAUGUAAUUUUGGAGUAUUUGUAUUUUAAUUUGUUUGAUAAAUAUUUUGCUUAUUUAGUCCUUUAUAUUGUGUUGCAA